UGAGUGAUGAAGGCCUUCGGGUCGUAAAGCUCUUUUACCAGGGAUGAUAAUGACAGUACCUGGAGAAUAAGCUCCGGCUAACUCCGUGCCAGCAGCCGCGGUAAUACGGAGGGAGCUAGCGUUGUUCGGAAUUACUGGGCGUAAAGAGUACGUAGGCGGCUAUUCAAGUCAGAGGUGAAAGCCCGGGGCUCAACCCCGGAACUGCCUUUGAAACUAGGUAGCUAGAAUCUUGGAGAGGUCAGUGGAAUUCCGAGUGUAGAGGUGAAAUUCGUAGAUAUUCGGAAGAACACCAGUGGCGAAGGCGACUGACUGGACAAGUAUUGACGCUGAGGUACGAAAGCGUGGGGAGCAAACAGGAUUAGAUACCCUGGUAGUCCACGCCGUAAACGA
rnacentral:rRNA from 1 species